CAGCAGCCGCGGUAAUACGUAGGUGGCAAGCGUUGUCCGGAAUUAUUGGGCGUAAAGGGCUCGCAGGCGGUUUCUUAAGUCUGAUGUGAAAGCCCCCGGCUCAACCGGGGAGGGUCAUUGGAAACUGGGAAACUUGAGUGCAGAAGAGGAGAGUGGAAUUCCACGUGUAGCGGUGAAAUGCGUAGAGAUGUGGAGGAACACCAGUGGCGAAGGCGACUCUCUGGUCUGUAACUGACGCUGAGGAGCGAAAGCGUGGGGAGCGAACAGGAUUAGAUACCCCCGUAGUCCCUGUCUCUUAUAA
rnacentral:rRNA from 1 species